GUGGGGAAUAUUGGACAAUGGGCGAAAGCCUGAUCCAGCCACGCCGCGUGAGUGAUGAAGGCCUUCGGGUUGUAAAGCUCUGUCGGGAGGGACGAAAGCUUCGGCUUGACGGUACCUCGCAAGAAAGCACCGGCUAACUCCGUGCCAGCAGCCGCGGUAAUACGGAGGGUGCAAGCGUUGCUCGGAAUUACUGGGCGUAAAGCGGACGCAGGCGGUCCGCCAAGUCGGUUGUGAAAGCCCCAGGCUCAACCUGGGAACUGCGACCGAAACUGGCGGACUUGAGUUCGGGAGAGGGAAGUGGAAUUCCUGGUGUAGAGGUGAUAUUCGUUGAUAUCAGGAGGAACACCGGCGGCGAAGGCGACUUCCUGGCCCGAUACUGACGCUCAUGUCCGAAAGCGUGGGGAGCAAACAGGAUUAGAUACCCUAGUAGUCC
rnacentral:rRNA from 1 species